AACUGACAAGAUUGGUCGUGAGGCCAAGUUCCAUGCAUUAGAAGAGUACAUGAACCAUGUGGCUGUUUGGUACAGUGCAUACGAGGCAGUUAACGGUCGUGUAGAGCGCAAGGUUUACUUGGCGUCGGACAGCGUCAAGGUUCUCGAUGAAGCCGAACAAAAAUACCCUGAGUAUGCGUUUCUAUUCAACUAAACCAUCACAAAGUAUUCAACUGAUGAGAAAACACAUGAGUUCCAAUGUAUGUCGAUUGGCGUAUGAACUAAUGCACGUACAUCAUGGGGACGCUUUCAACAGAGUGGUUUCCGUAGAUGUGGACUGGUUUUAUUCUUCAAUUAUUUAUACUGCAAUGUUGCCCCAUAUUUAUCCAGUGCAAAGGGAAAUUAGUUUUAAGGUUGGUCACGUCAUCAUAACGGACACCAACAAGCAGAGUCAAGUUCAAGAAAAGGGAUUUAUUAUUGGCAAGAAUAGAAGGACCGGACAAGUGGGAUUAGUGCCAAAAUACAAGAUUGUUGAAGUCAAUGUACAAAGACAAUACCCGCAUCAAUAAGUGUUACCAUGGAAGUUUUUCAAUAUUACAGGUUGAAAGUUAAAAGACUCACAAUUCGCUCGCAUGCUUACUUCUGCAAACAUGCGUGAGUGUUGGUGGGUUAAGUCGAUCACUGGCUUUCAAUUCUUUUUGACAAAUAGAUAAAACGAUAAACUGCAUCGAACAGACUACUAUUUUGCUCUGCAGUCAAUCUGUCAUCACCAUAUAGUAAAAAACGGAGGGUUACCUCAGUUAGAGAUUGAACAGUAUGUUGCAUUUGUUCAGUAAAGAGAGGACACAUAAAAAGAAAGUGGUAUGUAGUCUUCUUUCUUUCGUCCCUACAAAAUGGUGAGGGGACAAUCUUUUUAACAUAGAGAUUGCGUAGGCGAGUGUGCAGGACCUGAAGCCGACAUUACCAAAAUAGGCUAAGUGUUUUUGGCUUAUCAUUAUAGGUAUGAUUUAAAACCAGCAAUAUUGUUUACAGUCUUUGGCUCAACUGGGAGAGAAUUACAUGCAGAUAUUAUAGAAGGAAGAAAUGAAUUCAAAAACAAGGAUGUGCGGGUUAGAAAACUAGAUAUAAUGGGUGAAUUUCUAAGUGUUUUUGAUGAGGCUUGUCCUACUGUCUGGGGAACCAAAACCGACAAAUAAUUUGUUCGUAUUUUAACAAGGGGUAACAGGGUUAAACAAUCUAAAAUGGCCAACAAUGUCCAAUUUAUGGCGGUUUUUGCAAUUGUUACAUGUAACAAGCGCCAGUCCUCACAAUUUCAGUUGCAUACUGAUAUCAUUUCAGUGAGUCUCCACCUUCCCGCACAUACAUAUUGAUAAUUGGUUCAGACAAAUCGGUGAUUCUCUGUUUCAACUGAUAUCGCCAUGGACUUUAUCGUUGUAUGACUGUAUAGUUUGUCAAUUUUCUUGUUGAACAAGAAUACAGUUUAUUAAUUUAGCAUUCCUUUUAAAUAAUGAAAGAAUAUAUUAUAAUCUAUAUUUUAUUAAUCCUAAUGAUAUCAUCACUACGGGGAGAAUACAUGCUAGAGAAUUAAAUACAAUCAAGUUCAUGAUUUUCAUUCAUCUACAUCUGUAGAACUAAAAUUUCAGAGUUUAAGCAAGAUAUCAUACGUUUCUAAUGUUGACAGUCAAUGUGACGUAAAAAGCCAUUAACAUGAUUUUUGAGAACUAUGAUUGAGGUAUCAAAAUCUAACACGUACUUUGGAAUUAUUCCUUUCCAUUCAGCUACAUUGUCGUAAUUUUAAUAUCAAAAAUGGUACUUGCUAUUUGAACAGAAAGUAUGUCGUAAGACAAAACAUAACCAAUACCGUUGAAAAAUACGGAUAGUGUGGGUGAUUUUACUGGUUGAAAGAAACGUACCAUUUUCAUCUCUUAUUUUAAAUUGGUUUAUAUGGGCCCUAACACUUCCUGAUCAAAAGCCUUUGUUUGGGAGCAUUGUUUAAGUACGCAAUCAGACUUUUACAUUUUCAGAUAUGUCAUGGUCUGUUUACAUUAAAAACUUUAUUUUUGCAUAAAAAGUAAAAGACCUAGUGUAAGCCUUCCAUAUGUGCCCCCCCCCCCAUAUCCGUGUAUAGUACAACGCUUUUGUGAAUUGAUC